rnacentral:sRNA from 1 species
GUGUAGAGUCGUCGGGCCUCUCGCAGAAGCUCGGUCCUGAACUCCACCCUUGAAUAAACUACCUUUGUUGCUUUGGCGGGCCGCCUCGUGCCAGCGGCUUCGGCUGUUGAGUGCCCGCCAGAGGACCUACAACUCUUGUUUUUAGUGAUGUCUGAGUACUAUAUAAUAGUUAAAACUUUCAACAACGGAUCUCUUGGUUCUGGCAUCGAUGAAGAACGCAGCGAAAUGCGAUAAGUAAUGUGAAUUGCAGAAUUCAGUGAAUCAUCGAAUCUUUGAACGCACAUUGCGCCCUCUGGUAUUCCGGGGGGCAUGCCUGUUCGAGCGUCAUUAUAACCACUCAAGCUCUCGCUUGGUAUUGGGGUUCGCGGUUUCGCGGCUCCUAAAAUCAGUGGCGGUGCCUAUCGGCUCUACGCGUAGUAAUACUCCUCGCGAUUGAGUCCGGUAGGUCUACUUGCCAGCAACCCCUAAUUUUUUUAAGGUUGACCUCGGAUCAGGUAGGGAUACCCGCUGAACUUAAGCAUAUCAAUAAGCGGAGGAAAAGAAACCAACAGGGAUUACCUCAGUAACGGCGAGUGAAGCGGUAACAGCUCAAAUUUGAAAGCUGGCUCUUUUAGGGUCCGCGUUGUAAUUUGUAGAAGAUGCUUCGGGUGUGGCCCCGGUCUAAGUUCCUUGGAACAGGACGUCAUAGAGGGAUGAGAAUCCCGUAUGUGACUGGGUGCUUUCGCUCAUGUGAAGCUCUUUCGACGAGUCGAGUUGUUUGGGAAU